AAAAUCAGUCCGUAUUCUUUCAUUAUCGGAUUCUCGAACAAAUUGAUGUUUCGGGAACAGUAGGUUGUUGGCCCAAGGUUCCCUAUCCACCGGGAUGGGGCUGCCAUCUUAGGUAUAGCUUCCGGGGAAUAGCAUUUCAUACUCAGCCGCUGGAUGCCAGAACAGACGCUGUUGGAGCCGCACCUCCUUGGUGAACAGACGCUCGGUCAGUCGGGUCAAAUUUGUUUAAAGUCCCACCCAACACCAGGACUAGGCUAGUGCGCUUUGAGCGGCACACGGUCGCUUUGAUAGGACCUGCUUGGGGACACAUGCAGCUUUUUAUAGGAGUUCAACAGAGCCCACUGUCGAACCCCACCACAUCCUAGGCAGACCCCACAGGACGCACCCUCUCACUCUAGCUGAUGUCAGAAGGACAACAGUGCCCAGGCUGCACUACCAGCUAAGUACGCAACCCUUAGCUGGCGGUCAAU